UCGGAUAUGGUGCAGGGUAGUGUACACCGGGCUCAUGUUAUGGACCCGUGAAAGGAUAGUUCCUGGAGGCCACCAGGGUUCGAUUCCCCGUGUUUGAA